rnacentral:misc_RNA from 1 species
GGAUGGCAUGAAUGCAAAGAAGACAGUUUUCAUUAUUGGGGCGACCAACAGGCCCGAUAUCAUUGAUUCCGCACUGCUCAGGCCAGGCCGCCUUGAUCAGUUGAUCUACAUUCCACUCCCAGAUGAUGCCUCGCGGCUCCAGAUAUUCAAGGCUUGCCUCAGAAAAUCUCCUAUUGCCAAGGAUGUCGAUCUGGCUGCUCUGGCCAAGUAUACCCAAGGUUUCAGCGGUGCAGAUAUCACAGAAAUUUGCCAACGUGCUUGCAAAUAUGCUAUCAGGGAGAACAUCGAAAAGGAUAUUGAAAAGGAGAGGAAGAGGAAUGAGAAUCCUGAGGCCAUGGAGGAAGAUGAUGCUGAUGAAGUUGCUGAGAUUAAGGCAGUGCACUUCGAGGAAUCUAUGAAAUAUGCUAG